rnacentral:rRNA from 1 species
AUACAUGCAAGUCGAGCGGACAGAUGGGAGCUUGCUCCCUGAUGUUAGCGGCGGACGGGUGAGUAACACGUGGGUAACCUGCCUGUAAGACUGGGAUAACUCCGGGAAACCGGGGCUAAUACCGGAUGCUUGUUUGAACCGCAUGGUUCAAACAUAAAAGGUGGCUUCGGCUACCACUUACAGAUGGACCCGCGGCGCAUUAGCUAGUUGGUGAGGUAAUGGCUCACCAAGGCAACGAUGCGUAGCCGACCUGAGAGGGUGAUCGGCCACACUGGGACUGAGACACGGCCCAGACUCCUACGGGAGGCAGCAGUAGGGAAUCUUCCGCAAUGGACGAAAGUCUGACGGAGCAACGCCGCGUGAGUGAUGAAGGUUUUCGGAUCGUAAAGCUCUGUUGUUAGGGAAGAACAAGUGCCGUUCAAAUAGGGCGGCACCUUGACGGUACCUAACCAGAAAGCCACGGCUAACUACGUGCCAGCAGCCGCGGUAAUACGUAGGUGGCAAGCGUUGUCCGGAAUUAUUGGGCGUAAAGGGCUCGCAGGCGGUUUCUUAAGUCUGAUGUGAAAGCCCCCGGCUCAACCGGGGAGGGUCAUUGGAAACUGGGGAACUUGAGUGCAGAAGAGGAGAGUGGAAUUCCACGUGUAGCGGUGAAAUGCGUAGAGAUGUGGAGGAACACCAGUGGCGAAGGCGACUCUCUGGUCUGUAACUGACGC